rnacentral:snRNA from 1 species
GGUUGUGAGGCUGAUGUGAUUAUGAUAUCUGCCACUCACUGAUCACUAGAGUUAAUUUGGUUGAUCCGGCUGGCUAACCUGGUGGCCCCUUCCUCCGUUACCUUUCCAUGUGGUUCACUCCCAAUACUUCACACUUGAUCAAAGAGGAUGACCUUCCCUGAUAGAGGAGGAUUAUACUUCAUUCCAGGGUAUAUGAGUAACUGUGCUUCCCACCUAGAACUUCCAAACAAGCUCUCAAAAUUGAGUAGUUGGUUGUAAUAGCUGCAAAACAAGAUUAUGUAGAUAAUUAUAUACUAUUUUAAUU